GCAGGCAGGCAGGUAGGCAGAGAGUGUCCAGCACCAGAGCUCUCUGCAGACCCUCUGCCCUGCCCUGCCCUGCCUUAGUAAUGGAGAUAUGAUGUGAUUUCCUUUUUGUGGUUAUCCCCCCACCUUGAAUAUUUAGGGACUGGCUUGCCAUGGGGCUUUGGUAUUGAGCAGAGAUGUAGGGCAGUGUGGGAGGAAUAUGUACCAUUAAAUUGAAGUGGAGUGGACAAAUAGUUGGUUUUUAAUUUUUUUUUAAUUUAAAAAACCCCAUUCAAAAAGUCCUGCAAGUGGCUUGUUUCAUGGCAGAACAUUACAAAAAUGUCUGGAACUGAAGCUCAAACACACCAUCACCACCACUACCUGGCCUUAGACAAUCAUUCCACUCCAAUAUGGAAGAAUCUGCCCUUUACCUUCAUAAAAAAGGGUAAAACACCCCGCUUUCAGCCCCAGCCUUUAGAUCACCUAGAAUGACUUGGCAUAGGGCUUUGGCCUUGAGCAGAGAUGUAGGGCAGGGUGGGGGGAAUAUGUAUAUUUAAAUAGAAGUGGAUUGGACAAAUUGUUGAUUUUCUGUAUUUUUUAAAAACCCUUCCAAAAAGUCCUAUAAGUGGGUUUUUUUCAUGGCAGAAAAUUACAAAAACUUCUAGAGCAAACAAUAUAUAUUAUUUAUUUAUGAAUGCACUAUGUUCAAGUUGAUUUGCAACCCAGAAGGUCUGAGAACUGUGAAGCACAUGUGCUUUUUAUUUUUAUUUCUUUAGAAAUGCAUUAUAUGUCCAAGCUGGUUGGACAUGUCCAAAAACCUCACUCACACUAUUUACACUGUAUGUCAUCAAUCAGUAUGGUUCUGUAAAGAAAUAAAAUGUUAAGGAGGCCCCACACAUGCUGAUUCACCCCCAACUCCACACCUCACUAGGGAUGGCACUGCCUAGGUAAGUGUGCAUAGGAUUGUUGCUAGGCCAAGGACCUUUCCAAAGUAGCGGCUUUCUACAUUAGUAGGGGGGAAAUAAUCUGUCCCUAUUAGCAGUGACUCUCCAGUGACUGCUGCUGCUUUAGUUCCUUUAGUUUGCUGCUUUAGUUCCUUUAGAGCCAGCGUGGUGUAGUGGUUAGAGUGCUGGACCAGGACCAAGGUGACCUGAGUUCAAAUCGCCAUUCAGCCAUGAAACUAGCUGGGUGACUCUGGGCCAGUCACUUCUCUCUCAGCCUAACCUACUUCACAGGGUUGUUGUGAGGAGAAACUUAAUUAUGUAGUACACUGCUCUGGGCUUCUUGGAGGAAGAGUGGGAUAUAAAAUGUAAAUAAUAAAUAAAUAAUGAUAUUUUCUCUUUAGAAUGACCCCUUUGGGAGAGACAACCAUCUACUCAUUCUUUUUGCUAUGUUCAGUUUGAGAACUUUUUGUUGAAAAGCAGCAUCUAAAUAACAAUAAUAUCUUGGACUUCAUAGUUGACUUGGAAGGAUUUUUACUUUUGCUUUGGUGUUUCGUCCUCAAUUUUCUUGCAACUGUUAUUCUGGCUGCCAUACAAAAAGGGCCAUAACUAUGGUACAGUGAAGGAUACAUCUCUCUCUGUCUCAUCUUCACAGUUGGGCCUGCAAAGGCUACUUGUUGGUUUUGAUGCAGCCACAAGCAUCAUAACCGAAAUCACAGAUCUUAACUCAGACUUUCACAACUUGUGACCCACCAAGCCAAAUGCAUAAUCCAGCAGCCAUCUGCUGUGUAUUCAACAAACCUCCUGCUUUGGCUGCCUGCCUCUGCAUACAGAGCUGUAGAGCACCUGACAAGUCGUAAGGCAUGAGUGGUGGGCCUCAUCCAGCUCAGAGAAUUUUGCUGCAAGAGAGGCUGCUGUGUGGGAAGAAACUGGAGAGAAAUUAAAAGAAAGCCUGACCACUCAGAGAGAUAUUUUAAAAGGAAUCAUUAUGACCCAGCAGCCUGAAGCAGGGCAAGGAGGUCCAAGAAAGAAUGGUAAGAGGGGAGCUGGAUUUCACACAGUGAGUUACACUAACUUGCCAAUUCUUUGGCUGCAACCUUUUAGUCAUGGUAUCGAUUAUCAUCUGUAUGUUAUUCAAUCUCAUGUCUUUGUCUUUAAGAGAGAGAAAAUGCACCAGAAGAAGAAGAAAUGGCAAGAGAAUCAACAUUCAAGGUACUGCUAUACAACAAGCAGUCACCAUGGAGAUGGCAGUAGACCAACACAGGUAGAGAGUUUCAACAGGCUUGAUAUUUUCAGAAUCAGAAUACAGAAAAGGAAAAUCAUUUAUGUCAAUAUGUUGUCACGUACAUCAGUGCACCACAUCUUGAAAUGCCUUUUGUUUCUUGAAGUCCACCCCUGGAUAUCUUGCUGUGUAUUAGAAGUACUUCAGCCUUAAACUGUAUCCAGUAGGAGGCAUCUGCUAUUUUCAUCUGCUGUAGCAUCAGGUGUUUACUAUGCCCUUGUUCAGCAACUAGUUUUUCUGGGCCAACUUUAAAAAGGGAAGGGGACAGUUGGGCCAAGGCAAGGUACCACCUCCAAAGAUGCAUGCCAGUA